AGUCUGGUAGCGCGACUCAUAGCGUGUUGGGCUUCUAAUUCAAUGGUCGUGGGUUCGAAUCCCACCUGGGUUG